rnacentral:rRNA from 1 species
UACGUAGGGUCCGAGCGUUGUCCGGAAUUACUGGGCGUAAAGAGCUCGUAGGUGGUUUGUCGCGUUGUUCGUGAAAACUCACAGCUCAACUGUGGGCGUGCGGGCGAUACGGGCAGACUAGAGUACUGCAGGAGAGACUGGAAUUCCUGGUGUAGCGGUGGAAUGCGCAGAUAUCAGGAGGAACACCGGUGGCGAAGGCGGGUCUCUGGGACGGUACUGACGCUGAGACGCGAAAGCGUGGGGAGCGAACAGG